GCUGGGUGCGGUGGUGCAUGCCUGUAGUCCAAGCUACUCAGAGGCUGAGGUGGGAGGAUCACUUGAGCCCAGGAGGUCCGGGCUGUAGUGCGCUGUGUUGAUUGGGUGUCCACACUAAGUUUGGCAUCAAUAUGGUGACCUCCCGGGAGCUGGGAACCACCAGGUUGCCUAAGGAGGGAUGAGCCACCCCAGGUCAGAAACGGAGCUGGUCAAAAUUCCCAUGCUAGGCCGGGCGUGGUGGCUCACGCCUGUAAUCCCAGCACUUUGGGAAGCCGAGGCGGGUGGAUCAUGAGGUCAAGAGAUCGAGACCAUCCUGGUCAACAUGGUGAAACCCCGUCUCU
rnacentral:SRP_RNA from 1 species